rnacentral:rRNA from 1 species
CGUGUAGGCGGUUGGGCAAGUCAGAUGUGAAAGCCUUCCGCUCAACGGAAGAAGGGCACUUGAAACUACCCGGCUGGAGUACGGGAGAGGAGAGUGGAAUUCCCGGUGUAGAGGUGAAAUUCGUAGAUAUCGGGAGGAACACCAGUGGCGAAGGCGGCUCUCUGGUCCGAUACUGACGCUGAGACGCGAAAGCGUGGGGAGCAAACAGGAUUAGAUACCCUGGUAGUCCACGCCGUAAACGAUGGGCACUAGGUGUAGGAGGUAUUGACCCCUUCUGUGCCGAAGCUAACGCAUUAAGUGCCCCGCUGGGGAGUACGGCCGCAAGGCUAAA